rnacentral:misc_RNA from 1 species
GAUUAAGAACGUAGCGAAAUGCGAUAAGUAAUGUGAAUUGCAGAAUUCAGUGAAUCAUCGAAUCUUUGAACGCACAUUGCGCCCAUUAGUAUUCUAGUGGGCAUGCCUGUUCGAGCGUCAUUAAUUCCACUUAAGCCCUGCUUAGUGUUGGGAAUCUACUCUAGUGGUGCUACCCUGGAGCUACCCCUGAAAGGGGGCUGGCCCGGUAGCUACCCUGUAGUUCCUCAAAGAUAGUGCGCGGAGUUGCGUGGUCCUCUGAGCUUAGUAACUAUACACCUAGCUUUUGAGUGUCCCGCGGCGCCUGCCGUUUAAACCCCAUCUUUUAAUGGUUGACCUCGGAUCAGGUAGGAAUACCCGCUGAACUUAAGCAUAUCAAUAAGCGGAGGA